rnacentral:rRNA from 1 species
CAAUAGCGUAUAUUAAAGUUGUUGCAGUUAAAAAGCUCGUAGUUGGAUUUCUGAGAGGAUGCCAAUGUCCUUCUGUGUAAGUGUGCAGCGGCGUCUUUUCAUCCUUCUGUUAACACCUCUUGGCAUUCGUUUGCUGGUGGUGGGCUCAGAUAUUUUACCUUGAGAAAAUUAGAGUGUUUCAGGCAGGCUAGGCCGGAAUACAUUAGCAUGGAAUAAUGGAAUAGGACUACGGUCUCUUUGUUGGUUUGAGGGACUGCAGUAAUGAUUAAUAGGGAUAGUUGGGGGCAUUAGUAUUUAAUUGUCAGAGGUGGAAUUCUCGGAUUUGUUAAGGACUAACUUAUGCGAAAGCAUUUGCCAAGGAUGUUUUCAUUAA